GCCCGGAGGCUGACAGAACAAGACGGAAGCCCUUCAAGAGAAUUGCCAAUAAAGAAACUGAAAAUGGGCACCGCCUUCUGGAGGUUCCCAUACGAGCUGGGAACAGCCGGGACUAACUCUUCUCCAACGUGAUCGCUAAUUGGCAGCAGCAAGACAGCCUGUGAGCUCAAGAAAACAGCUGCCUGACAAUCCUGGAGAUUUUGUGUUACAGGCCCCACCACAGGAAGAAACUGAUGCUAUCAAACAGUGCCCCAUUCCAGAUUCCCAGAGAAGAGAAGCUGAUUGGUCCAGCUGGGGUCCACUGUACACACCUCAGCUCCAAUCAUCUGUGACCAAGAAAGCAGCAGCCCACUGUACAGACCUGGGCUUACUCCUGCCAUCCUGAGGAUGGAGAUAAAGGAGGAGGUCUCAAAGCGUGGGAGAAGAGGAGUGUCUCCGUGUGGAGGCACCCAAGGUAUCAUUCCACUUUACAUAGUAGGGCAGAAAGAGGACUAAUGCAUUUCAGAAUAAUUUUCAAUAACCAAGGUCACACUCUAGAAGAUUUUCUGCACAUACCACAGUCAAGCCAAAAACUCAAUUUAGCUAGGCGUGUUUUGCUCUGCAUCCCAAAUGUAGCAGACACAGAUGGUUGCCCAUCUAACAGCCUGUUCCUCCUUCUCAACUAGCAGGAUCCCACAUAUAUUUAGAUGUCCAUUCCUCCCUCGUGUCAGUCAUAGAAAGCUUACCUUAUCCCUGUGUUUAGAAGGAAAUUAAUCUAAUGGUUGCAUUGUGACCCGUUUUGGCUUAGGCAUGGGCAUAUGACACAAUUGUGACCAAUGAAACAUGAUGACGGAUCUUCUGAGGGGCCUUCUGCAAAGAUAUUUUUCUCACUGAUAAAACGAAACUCAUAGGAACACUUUCUAACCUUCUACCACCUUGUGUCUGGAUGUGAUGCCCAGAACGGUGGCAGCCAUCGUAUGACUAUCAGGGGACCUAGCCUGAGGAUUAGAGAGUCGAAAUACGCCUCUGUCUUCCAGAAUCCGUCCCUUAAUAUCUGAUGGACCUCUAGGAAAGAGGCUCUGAACUGCUGACUGGAAGUCCUCUGCUUGCCAGUGUGACUUGUCAGUUGCUGGACUUCGCUGUGGACAGAUUGCCCCGAGGCACAUGGGAUCUUGGCUCCCUGACCAGAGGUCAAACCUGCAACUUCUGCAUGAAAGUUAGAGUCUUUCUGGACUUUCUGGACUGACAGAGAAGACCCUAGUACUUCCUUUAAGGUUGUUGUGAGGAUUAAACAAGCUAGUGUAGAUCAUAUGGUAAAAAACAAAAAGCAAUGCCUGCUUUGUAAUAAGCAUUGAGUAAGGAUUUUGCUAUUAUUAUUUGCUGUUAUUUUAAAUGAACAUAGAAAGAGAUGCAGACGGAUGCCCCAGGUCGUUAACACGGGUCACAGUGUGGGGGGAGAGAAAGUUGGAAGAAAGAGAGAUAAACUGUGAUUUUCACAAAAUGUAAAUAUUAUUUAUGGUAAAAAUUAAAGUAAAAAUGAAGAAAUUAAUAUCUAUAAUGCUAUGAGGAAUAUGAAAGAACUAUAUAUGCAUGUGGAAAAAAU